CAGCAACCGCGGUUAUACAAAUAAUGCAAAUAAAAUUUAUUAAUAAUAGUUAAUUUUUUUUUUAUUUAAGUUUAUUUUAAAUUUUUUAAGUGAAAUUUUAAGUUUAAUUAAUUUAAAAUGAAUGAAGCUAGUAAAUUUUAAUUAUAAACUAGGAUUAGAUACCCUAUUAUUUAAAAAGUAUUUUUUUUUGUUUGAGUAGUAAUAGUUAUGUUCUUAAAACUUAAAAAAUUUGGCGGUGUUUUAGUCUAUUUAGAGGAACCUGUCCUGUAAUCGAUAAUCCACGUUGGACCUUACUAAUUUUUGUUUUCAAUUUGUAUAUCGCCGUUAUCAGAAUAUCUUAAAAGAGAAAAAAAAUUUCUUAAUUUAUUAAUAAAAAUGAUGUCAGGUCAAGGUGCAGUUUAUAUUUUAGAAGAGAUGGGUUACAAUAAAAUUAUUUAUACGAAGAAUUUUAUUGAAAAAUAAAUUUAAAGGUGGAUUUAAAAGUAAAAUAAUAAAU
rnacentral:rRNA from 1 species